rnacentral:lncRNA from 1 species
AGUCUUUACACUGCUAGCCUCAAGACUGGAGAUGUGGUCGGUGGAUAGUUCGAUAGCAUAAAUAUCUCUGAAGAAAAGACUAAGCUCAAUCAAAGAACUCCAUAUGAAAUUGGGAAGAAGAUCACAUCAAGCUAAUGGAAAUAAUCAUUGCAUGAAGACAUGGCAGUCAUGGCUCUUUAGCCCAUAGAAUCUAUAAUCUUUGACAUUGACGCACCA